GCCUGCAUGUAUACAUGCAUAUACAUGCACAAAAAUCAUUUUUUGCUAUACUACAAUGUUUUAUUUUAUAUUAAUAGGAUAGCAUGAAUACUUUGAUUAACUGCAGGCUAAUCAACCUUAAUGACCUGCUCAGCACAUAGCACUGGUUAUUCUCUCCUCCACAGAACAGACCACAUGCUGUGUGAAGGCCAACAAACACAUUGAUACGGCCACAAGUACUGGCUCUGCACUGAAGGUGUUCCUUCUUGGUGGCACUGGUACAGGCUCUGCAUUUUAGCGACCAGCCCUUCCAGCAAAGCAGGAAUGUCAUCCAAAGCCACACAGCCCUCAGCCGGGAGAGAGGGGAGAGCGAUUGAGGCUGGUUCAAGGCAUUUCCUUGUUGCAGGAGGAUAUGAGGAAACCACAGGACAUGACUGGGUUCCAAAUCGUACUGUUUACGAGCUACGUGCAAACAUACAAACCCUGGUAGCUGAGUGUCUAUCCAAAGUCCUGUAUCAGACCUCAAGAGGCAAAGACAUGUAUAAGGCCUGGACCAGCCUUCAGAGACUCAGACUCAGGAAAAUGAGUCCUCAUUAGAGGAAGAAAUAAAAAGAAGCUCCACUUUCAGCAAUAUUCAGUGUUGCAUGUGACCAACAGAUAAAGUAAAUAAUUUCAAACCA